CCUACGAGAGGCAGCAGUGGGGAAUAUUGGACAAUGGACGAAACCCUGAUCCAGCGACGCCGCGUGAGUGAAGACGUAUUUCGGUACGUAAAACUCUAUCUGCAGGAAGGAAAAUGACGGUACCUGACUAAGCAGCCCCGGCUAACUCCGUGCAAGACGCCGCGGUCAUACGUAGGGGGCCAGCGUAAUCCGGAUUUACUGGGUGUAAAGGGAGAGUAGACGGCGUGGAAAUUCUGUAGUGAAAUGGCGGGGCACAAACCCGGAAAUGCUCUGGACACUGUGAAGCUGGAGUGCAGGAGAGGUAAGCGGAAUUCCUGGUGUAGCGGUGAAAGGCGUAGAGAUCAGGAAGAACACCGGCGGCGAAGGCGGCUUACUGGACUGUAACUGACGUUGAGGCUCGAAGGCGUGGGGAGCAAACAGGAUUAGAUACCCGGGUAGUC
rnacentral:rRNA from 1 species